rnacentral:rRNA from 1 species
GACGAACGCCGGCGGCGUGCUUAACACAUGCAAGUCGAGCGGUAAGGCCUUUCGGGGUACACGAGCGGCGAACGGGUGAGUAACACGUGGGUGAUCUGCCCUGCACUUCGGGAUAAGCCUGGGAAACUGGGUCUAAUACCGGAUAUGACCUCCUAUCGCAUGGUGGGUGGUGGAAAGAUUUAUCGGUGCAGGAUGGGCCCGCGGCCUAUCAGCUUGUUGGUGGGGUAAUGGCCUACCAAGGCGACGACGGGUAGCCGACCUGAGAGGGUGACCGGCCACACUGGGACUGAGACACGGCCCAGACUCCUACGGGAGGCAGCAGUGGGGAAUAUUGCACAAUGGGCGAAAGCCUGAUGCAGCGACGCCGCGUGAGGGAUGACGGCCUUCGGGUUGUAAACCUCUUUCAGCAGGGACGAAGCGCAAGUGACGGUACCUGCAGAAGAAGCACCGGCUAACUACGUG